CAAUAGCGUAUAUUAAGGUUGUUGGGGUUAAAAAGCUCGUAGUUGGAUUUCUGCCGAGGACGACCGGUCCGCCCUCUGGGUGAGUAUCUGGCUCGGCCUGGGCAUAUUCUUGGAGAGCGUAGCUGCAUCACGGAAUAGUAAGAUAGGACAUCGGUUCAAUUUUGUUGGCUUCUAGAGCUGAGGUAAUGAUUAAUGGGGAUAGUCGGGGGCAUUCGUAUGUAAUUGUCAGAGGUGAAGUUCUUGGAUUUGUUAAAGACGGACUACUGCGAAAGCGUUUGCCAAGGAUGUUUNCAUUGA
rnacentral:rRNA from 1 species